UAAACUGCAGCAUUCUGUGACAAGGAAACAGGCUGAAAAAGCAACAUUAACCUGCAGGAUCAUCUGUCAUGGGUUGAUGGCGCCAUACCACAAAGAGCAGCUCAGCAUUGCAUCUAAAAAGGUAAUCUCUGUGAGGUGCUGGAUGAAGAGAUGCAGGCGAGGGUCACUGAAGAACCCAGCGGGGUGUCUAUCAGGAGUAACACAUCUUUAUUCCUGCCUCCUAACAUCAGUGAUGGAGCUGUGACCUCUGACCCCAGGUAAAACAAACAACUGACAUUGAUUAAACCUCAUUGAAUACAUGAUUAGAGACUGAUUAAGAGUUAGUUGUUGUCAGCAGGCACAAACUAGCCUCUCCAAAACCCAGCUGUGUGUCUGUGAAGAGUACUGGAUCUUUAGUUAUGCCACCUAACAUCAGUGAUGGACCUGUGACCUCUGACCUUGG